rnacentral:misc_RNA from 1 species
GAUGAAGAACGCAGUAAAAUGCGAUAAUUAAUGUGAAUUGCAGAAUUCAGUGAAUCAUCGAGUCUUUGAACGCACAUUGCGCCCCCUGGUAUUCCGGGGGGCAUGCCUGUCCGAGCGUCAUUGCUGCCCUCAAGCACGGCUUGUGUGUUGGGCUUCCGUCCCUGGCAACGGGGACGGGCCCAAAAGGCAGUGGCGGCACCAUGUCUGGUCCUCGAGCGUAUGGGGCUUUGUCACCCGCUCCCGUAGGUCCAGCUGGCAGCUAGCCUCGCAACCAAUCUUUUUAACCAGGUUGACCUCGGAUCAGGUAGGGAUACCCGCUGAACUUAAGCAUAUCAAUAAGUGGAGGA